UCAUAAUUUAUGGAUGGCUUUCUCUUUAUCACCUUGAAGACCUCUUUUCCUGCAGCUUUUGCCUGAUUGAAGGUCUGAAGGUCUGGUGCAGCAUAGGUAAUCGAUCUGAAUGCAUGUAGAGAAAUCCAUUAAGUCUAGAAUAUGCGCAAAUUAAAAAGAUGAUGGAAGCUUUGGCAAUGGAUCUCAGUUUCUAAAAUUCUUUGCUUAAAUUUCCAUAAAAAUAUUUUAGUGCAACUGAACCAAUCAGUGAGGUUGUGUGAUUGUUACAUUGCACCAAAGAGGAUGCUCAUAAUGGCAGCUAUCGUGCCACCUCCUGUUGCCUUGUUUUUGGUUACGGCAACUGCCCCAAUCCAAACCAUCAGUGCCCAGGAACAAAAGGUCACUGCUUGGAACAAUCCGAGGCCUAUUCCCUUUAUCAUUGCUUCCUUCUUGCUUAGGUUAAACUGAUUUUCCAUGCACUGGACAAAUGACUUAAUGGCCCAGCUCUCUCCGACAAAGGAGAAGACGGUCUUGAUAUGUGACAAGGUCUGUAAACAAAUGUAUACCUGGAUUAUGAACAUAAUGAAGCGGGAGAUAUUCUGUACUCCAACAUUUCUAUCUAUUCCAGUGACUUAUCUUAAGGAUCAGAGGAAUGACCAGGAAGGAAAGCAUUGCAACUUGCCAGCAGCUGAUAAAUGCAAUUAUGAUGCCGGCAAAGAAGGUGGAGAAGCUGGCAACGAAAUGACCCAGCUGCAGAAAAGUGAACUUAGAUACAGUGGUCAAGUCAGUAUCAAAAGCCCCUACCUCUUGGUUGAGGACUGAUCUCAGAAAUGCUAGCCGCAUGCGUGCUAGCUGUCUCUCACUUGAGUAUAUCCAGCAGGAGAUCUCUGCAGUUAAUUCAUUGGAGAAAAAGGUUAAGGAGUGCUUACAUGACCAAGGCGGGUGUCAAGGAAUAAUUGGGGCAUAAUCCGAGCAUAUGCCUUUCGAGACUGCACAUAAGACACGCGGUUGUCCAUGCCGAAACGUACAAAAAAGGUGAAGCAUUGCACUGUCCCUCCUCAUUGCCGGAAACCCGUGCAAUGAUCUGGACCCUGGAGCAUGCAUUGCUGGCUAACAAUGCUAGUGUGUUCUCUGAACUUUUGCUGAAACUUUGUCAUCAAAAUUGACGAUGACUAACAGCUUCACUGUAAGGCGCUGUGCGGGCUGCUGCUGCUGGCGAGGCGGAGGCGCACCGACAGCUGGUUGGUUCUCCAGGGGGUCAUUUCUACCAUAUAUUUGAAUUUUUCUGAGAGUACCAAAUCUGUUCAUUCUCCGAAUUCGGCACGAACUUCUCGAGUUUUACAGCUUCUCAGCUCUCGGAGCUUGGAAGGUCAAUCGGAUGCUGGAAAGGAGACACUUAUUAUUUGGCUGGACUGCUGGAGUGCUCCUGUUGGAUUCAUCUGCUAACCUGAUCGGCUUUGGAACGCGGCUCUUGGACGUGGCAGCAGCAUAUGCUACCGGUUUUUUUUUGUUUGGAGUGCAUCCAGGUACGGAGAUCAAGUGUUGUCAUCUCAUAACCCGAAUGGCCAUGUAACUAUCGUCCGUGGGAUAACCGGAGAAUAUGCGGAUGCCAAGAACACGUCAGGAAUGACCCGUUCAAAAAUAAAAC